AGAGUUUGAUCCUGGCUCAGGAUUAACGCUGGCGGCGUGCCUAACACAUGCAAGUCGAACGAGGUAGCAAUACCUAGUGGCAGACGGGUGAGUAACACGUGGUCAACCUACCGCUGAGUGGGGGAUAACUAACCGAAAGGUUAGCUAAUACCGCAUACGUGGCCAAGGGGCAUCCCCUGGCCAUAAAAGGAGCAAUCCGC
rnacentral:rRNA from 1 species